rnacentral:rRNA from 1 species
GACGUAGGGGGCCAGCGUUGUUCGGAAUUACUGGGUGUAAAGGGUUCGUAGGCGGUGCGGCAAGUUGGGAGUGAAAUCUCUGGGCUUAACCCAGAGGCUGCUUCCAAAACUGCUGUGCUUGAGUGUGGGAGAGGCGCGUGGAGUUGCAGGUGUAGCGGUGAAAUGCGUAGAUAUCUGCAGGAACACCCGUGGCGAAAGCGGCGCGCUGGACCACUACUGACGCUGAGAAGCGAAAGCAUGGGGAGCGAACAGG